rnacentral:rRNA from 1 species
UAUUGGACAAUGGGGGGAACCCUGAUCCAGCGACGCCGCGGGAGUGAAGAAGUAUCUCGGUGUGUUAAGCUUCAUCAGCAGGGAAGAAAGAAAUGACGGUACCUGAGUAAGAAGCCCGGGCUAACUACGUUCCAGCAGCCGCGGUAAUACGUAGGGGGCAAGCGUUCUCCGGAAUUACUGGGUGUAAAGGGAGCGUAGACGGUGGUGUAAGUCUGGAGUGAAAGGCGGGGGCCCAACCCCCGGACUGCUCUGGAAACUAUGUGACUGGAGUGCAGGAGAGGUGAGCGGAAUUCCUAGUGUAGCGGUGAAAUGCGUAGAUAUUAGGAGGAACACCAGUGGCGAAGGCGGCUCACUGGACUGUAACUGACGUUGAGGCUCGAAAGCGUGGGGAGCAAACAGG